UACCCUUGACUUGAGGGUAUACACCGGAGGAGCAGGCGGAAAAGAGGGGAGAGCUUUUCCCCGACUACUGCUUUCUCCCCUCCCUCUUUCCUAUGCCAAAACCCUCGACCAAACCCUAUAAAUCCAUCCCAAACUUCAGGUGCACAGCUCUCGGAAGAGAAAUCUUAAUCUUUCCUUCGAAUCCGUCGACAUGAGCAAUUACGAAUACGAUUACCUCUUCAAGCUCCUCUUGAUCGGAGACUCUUCCGUCGGGAAGUCGUGCCUCCUCCUCAGAUUCGCUGAUGAUUCAUAUGUUGAUAGCUAUAUCAGCACGAUAGGUGUGGAUUUUAAAAUUCGAACGGUGGAGCUGGAUGGAAAAACGAUCAAGUUGCAGAUUUGGGAUACGGCUGGACAGGAACGGUUCAGGACCAUAACAAGCAGUUAUUACCGAGGUGCACAUGGGAUCAUCGUAAGAAUUUCUUCUCAGUCUGGUCACCUUCUCAUCAAACUUCAUCUUUUUAAGGAAAUCAUCAUGCUUCUUUGGCUUGGAAUUGCAAAGCAUUUAUCAUCAUAUUAUGAGUGUUCCAACUUGUACUACAUCAACCUGGAAGAUGAUGUUUGUGUAAUCAAAAUGUGCACAUGGUCUCCAUUCAUAUUGUUUAUGAUGUUACGGAGAUGGAGAGCUUCAACAAUGUCAAGCAAUGGCUAAAUGAGAUUGAUAGGUAUGCAAAUGACAGUGUAUGCAAGCUUCUUGUUGGAAAUAAAUGCGAUUUGGUUGAGAAUAAAGUUGUGGAGACAGAGAAGGCGAAGGCAUUUGCAGAUGAGCUUGGUAUCCCUUUCCUUGAGACAAGUGCAAAGGACUCGAUCAAUGUGGAGCAAGCUUUCUUGACCAUGUCUGCUGAAAUUAAGAAAAGAAUGGGAAAUCAACAUACCUCAAACACAAGUUCCACAAGCACAGUCCGGGUGAAGGGCCGACCUAUUCAGCAGAAGAGCAACUGUUGCAGCUAGGCAUUUAUUGGAAAACUUAUUCUGCGGUAUAGGGCAGCCACAUGCGGAAAGGCAAGCAAUGUGCAUGAAAAGGCGAUGUAUCAUCACAUUCUGCAUCUUUGAAGACUUUGAAUGGCCAGUGUCAAGAUAUUGUAUGAUCUGUCUACAUCCAGUUUUUUAAGUAAUGCAAAGGAGACCAAAUCCGUGGCUAGUACACUCUUUCUUGGUACUUUUGGGUUACUAUAUGCCCUAGGGGAAGCCUUGGAUCAUCACCUGCAAUAUUUCUUUUCAGCUAAUAUUCAUUAUGGACCGGACCAAGUAUGAGC